rnacentral:rRNA from 1 species
UACGUAGGGUGCAAGCGUUAAUCGGAAUUACUGGGCGUAAAGCGUGCGCAGGCGGUUUUGUAAGACAGGUGUGAAAUCCCCGGGCUUAACCUGGGAACUGCAUUUGUGACUGCAAGGCUGGAGUGCGGCAGAGGGGGAUGGAAUUCCGCGUGUAGCAGUGAAAUGCGUAGAUAUCCGGAGGAACACCGGUGGCGAAGGCGGCUUCCUGGACCGAUUACUGACGCUGAGGCGCGAAAGCUAGGGGAGCAAACGGG